rnacentral:rRNA from 1 species
GAUGAACGCUGGCGGCGUGCCUAAUACAUGCAAGUCGAGCGAACGGACGAUAAGCUUGCUUCUCUGAUGUUAGCGGCGGACGGGCGAGUAACACGUGGAUAACCUACCUAUAAUACUGGGAUAACUUCGGGAAACCGGAGCUAAUACCGGCUAAUAUUUUGAACCGCUUGGUUCAAAAGUGAAAGACGGUCUGGCCGUCACUUAUAGAUGGAUCCGCGCUGCAUUAGCUAGUUGGUAAGGUAACGGCUUACCAAGGCAACGAUGCAUAGCCGACCCGAGAGGGAGGUCGGCCACCCUGGAACUUGAACACGGUCCAGAAUCCUAAGGGGGGCAACAGUAGGGAAUCUUCCGCAAUGGGCGGAAACCUUACGGCGCAACGCCGCGGGAGUGAUAGAAGUCUUCGGAUUGUAAAACUCUGUUAUUAGGGAAGAAAAUAUGUGUAAGUAACUGUGCACAGCUUGACGGUAACUAAUCAGAAAGGCACGGCUAACUACGUG